rnacentral:lncRNA from 12 species
UGGGAAUAUCAGUCUUGCUGUCUUGCUAGUGAAAGAAAAACAAACAAACAAAAAAUCCCUCUUGUUUGUAUUUCUUGGCAGUAAAAGACAUGCCCAAGACAGCCACAAUCUGCAUUUCGUAGAUGCUGACAAGUCAGUGCAGCUGAAGCCAGCAGAUGCCAUGAGGGACUGGUGGCCAUCAGACAAGCUCCAGGCACCUCCAGGGAAAAACACAGAAAUAAUUUUGAGACAACUUCAGAGUCAACAUACUGACAUAUAAGUGGCACCAAACUGCACCCUUCAGAUGACUGGGAUUUUUUACAUAUGAGUACAUUCUUCCUUGCAAGAGUUUGCAAAUGCUUGAGUGGUACUUGUAUUAAUGUAAUAAAAGAAGUGCAAGGC